UACAGAGGUCCCAAGCGUUGUUCGGAUUCACUGGGCGUAAAGGGUGCGUAGGUGGUUAGGUAAGUCCGAUGUGAAAUCUCCAGGCUCAACCUGGAAAUGGCAUUGGAUACUAUCUAGCUUGAGGAGUGGAGGGGGGGGGACUGAAUUCUCGGUGUAGCAGUGAAAAUGCGUAGAUAUCGAGAGGAACACCAGUGGCGAAGGCGAGUCCCUGGACACUUCCUGACACUGAGGCACGAAAGCUAGGGGAGCAAACAGG
rnacentral:rRNA from 1 species